UACGGGGGGGGGCAAGCGUUGCUCGGAAUCACUGGGCGUAAAGCGCACGUAGGCGGACUCUUAAGUCGGUGGUGAAAUCCUGGAGCUCAACUCCAGAACUGCCUCCGAUACUGGGAGCCUUCGAGUCCGGGAGAGGUGAGUGGAACUGCGAGUGUAGAGGUGAAAUUCGUAGAUAUUCGCAAGAACACCAGUGGCGAAGGCGGCUCACUGGCCCGGUACUGACGCUGAGGUGCGAAAGCGUGGGGAGCAAACAGG
rnacentral:rRNA from 1 species